UACGUAGGGUGCGAGCGUUAAUCGGAAUACUGGGCGUAAAGCGUGCGCAGGCGGUUUUGCAAGCCGGAUGUGAAAUCCCCGGGCUCAACCUGGGAAUGGCAUUCGGGACUGCAAGGCUGGAGUGCGGCAGAGGAGACUGGAAUUCCUGGUGUAGCAGUGAAAUGCGUAGAUAUCAGGAGGAAUACCGAUGGCGAAGGCAGGUCUCUGGGCUGACACUGACGCUCAUGCACGAAAGCGUGGGGAGCAAACAGG
rnacentral:rRNA from 1 species